rnacentral:rRNA from 1 species
GAUGAACGCUAGCUACAGGCUUAACACAUGCAAGUCGAGGGGCAGCAUGACGGGUGCUUGCACUUGUUGAUGGCGACCGGCGCACUGGUGAGUAACACGUAUGCAACCUGCCCUUGAAAGGGGGAUAACCCGUGGAAACGCGGCCUAAUACCCCGUAGGCGCCGUCACCGCAUGACGACGGCGUGAGAGGAGCGAUCUGUUCAAGGAUGGGCAUGCGUCGCAUUAGCUAGUUGGUGAGGUAACGGCCCACCAAGGCGACGAUGCGUAGGGGUUCUGAGAGGAAGGUCCCCCACACUGGUACUGAGACACGGACCAGACUCC